UGAGAGGGGCACGGUAACCCAAUUAUAUACUUACCUCCGGGGGGAGAUGUUGGGUGAAGUAUCUCCUGAGGUAUGAUUUGAGUGCACCUCACGUUCGGGCCACCACGUGAGAGGGAGACUCAACCAAUGCCAAGGAACGGGUGUGUGUCAGAUGUGAAAGCAUGUUUAUGGGUAUGGGUCAUUGAACAGCCUUGGCGGUCUCAGUGGGAUACCUUGAUGAAGGUACCCGUGAGAAUGAUUCUGGCAGGGGCCAAGUUUAA
rnacentral:lncRNA from 1 species